rnacentral:rRNA from 1 species
ACUGGCUGUCGUCAGCUCGUGUCGUGAGAUGUCGGUUAAGUCCGCUAACGAGCGCAACCCUCGCUGUGUGUUACAAGUGUCACACGGAACUGCCGGUCAUAAACCGGAGGAAGGUGGGGAUGACGUCAAGUCAGCAUGGCCUUUAUAUCCUGGGCUACACACACGCUACAAUGGGAAGGGACAAUAGGUUGCGAAGCCGCGAGGCGGAGCCAAUCCAGCAAAACUUCCCUCAGUUCAGAUUGCAGGCUGCAACUCGCCUGCAUGAAGUUGGAGUUGCUAGUAAACGCAGGUCAGCCAUACUGCGUUGAAUACGUUCCCGGGGCUU